AGUUCGGUUUUCGAAUCGAAGACACGUGAUUCAUUUGGAAUGAAAUUCCUGCCGAUAAUCGGGAAUCGAUGCUGGCGAGGAUGAGCUCCGGUGAACAGGUUAUCGGGCUAGUUAAAAUGUGAUUUAUCGGCUGCAGGGUUACACUGAAUAGAGGAUAUAUCUGAAGGAAAUGAAAUGUUGGGGCCCCUUUCGAGAACUAGAAUUAAGGAGAUAUUGAAUGGUUAAACGUCCUGGACGAGCCUGCAACCUCUUAACACAAAAGGGAAAUACCUAGUUCAAUGAGUGAUUGACUGCUUCAAAUGUUUAUGUUAAGCACUCACUAAGCCAUAAUGGUAAAUGAAAGACAUGCUAUAUUAAAUCUUGCUGAAAACUAAAAAAGGAAAGGAUGAAAAAUGGUAACAACCGGACAACGUGAAAGUUGGCACGCGCGAUGACCGUCCACGCGUAAGGUAAACGGUUAUUAUACAGAUUAGGGGUGUCGAGGAUCAGAUAUCCGGGGCAUUUAAUAACGCUGUUCCUGUCAAAACACUCACCGUAGUCAACUGAGGGUAUAAUGCAGAUAAAUUGCUCCAUGGAGAACGAUCGAGAGGGGCAGCACGGCGAAAAAAAGAGACGAAAGAUGAGCUAAGGAGGAGAGAAACUGCGCACGAGCGACACAGGCGGGGGUGACCCCCUUCGACCCUCGUCUCGGCUAUUAUUUGUUACCAUCAGUAGAUCGCAUAGGGGUGUUUUAAUAUGGACCCGACGCGGCGCCCAGACCAAAGAUUUGCGCGUAACUGUGCAAACAGCGGGAGAUCCCCGGCCACGGACCCGUGAAACUAGCAACGGGAAGAUAAUAUCAGUGGUGAGAGUUUCCAGAGAUACCGUUGCGAAUCCAUUUUGAUCGCUUCGAAGUUCCGAUGAAAAGAUCCAUCUUGACCAUUGGCCACGAUCUUCAAUGAUAUUUGGACAACUUCAGUCGGCUAUAGUUUAGUCAAAGGAAUGUUAGAUUUUAGGUUUGUGUUAAAGGUAAUUUUUAAGGUUAGGAAAUAGUGUUUGGUUUUUGAAUCAAUAAAUUAUCACUCCACAGACACAUUAAUUAAAGAGAAAUGAAGUUACAAUAUCUAUAAGAAACAAAAUAUAACUGUGAAAGUAUACAUGUAUUAAGAAUUUCAUUUCUUUCGAUUAUUGUUUAAGAUACAACUAUUUCGACAAUUUCACUUUGGGUAAAUAAAAUAAAAGGUUCACACUGCAUAUAUGUAAAAACACAUUAAUAUUAAUAUCGUGUAUAUAUGGUAUAAAUAUAACACAUUAAUAUCGUGCACGAUGCUGCAAGAUUCCGUAAUGUGCCACAACCGAUCUGGCUUCUGCCUCGUUCCGCCUGUGGCGCCUCGCUCGGUGAUCUAUUAAUUUAAAAUGCGUGUACAUUUCAACAAUAUGAGCAAAUUAAAGAAUAAUUCCUGAUCUGUAAUAUAAUAAGGCGCGUAAUUUAAUUUAAUUUAAGUUUGUUUUCUUAGUUGCGAACUUUUUUUGGAAGUAGGUACUGUUACAUUAGCGAAACAUAGAUUUUAAAAAUAAGUUAAUAGUUUUAGUCUAAAAUUUUAACUUAAAACAGAAGAUUAUAAAACAUGAAUGAUAUCUAAACGAUACAUAUAAAAAAAGUAGAUGAAAUAAAGUGAAACAUAUUAAUAAGAAUUUAAUUAAAAUUUAUUUCAACUAUUUUCAACAUGAAAAAUGUACGAAUCGUUCUUUUCAGUGUCAAUGAUUGCCAACCUGAUUUAACGCACAAAGAGUUUUUGCAAUUUUCGCAUAGGUACUAAUUAAACUAAUAUGCUCUACGAAUUUGUUUGAUUUCUUCUUUUGCAGAUACAUUGUUUGAUUCACAUUGUGGCUGCCGACAUACGAUUUGAAAAAUUUUUACGUUGAACCGUAAAUAAAUAGCUUGUUUGAGACUGAGAAAUUUACUAUUCUUUAAUUUGUAUAUAUACAUGCUAUGAACAUUUAUAUCCAAUCGUUACUUAACAAUCCAGUGAAAAGGAAAUAACGAAACAGCAAACACAGAAGAAACAAUUGUAACUAAAUAAAUCUCAAAAGGAUUGAAAAAUUACAAUUCUUUAAUUUCUAUACGAACAAUGUCUAUACAUAGCUUGUUUAUGAACAUUUAUAUGUAAUCGUUACCUAACAAUCUAGCAAAAAGAAAGGGGCCUAGAAAGUAAUUAAAAAAGAAAAGAACACAACGUAACUCAGCCUCUCUCAAAACGAGCGUCCACGCAGCGAAACGUUCGGCUGGAUUCCCGUUUUUGUUAAAAAAUCUCGCGUAGGUGGGAUGAGUUCAAUGCGUUCAUCUAUUUUUCAUUCCGACCGGUCCGGAACCGAUCCGCUGACAAUCGGUGAUCACAGCUUUUCAGAUGGCUUGGAAAAGUUCGAAUCGGGCUGGCCGAAGAAUUGCGCGACGCACCAAAAAUAUUCAAUGGACGAAAAAAAAGCCGGUGAUUACACGCUGGCAUCAUUGUGACAGGGUUCGAUCUUUACAAAUUUCUCGAAACAAUGGCCGAACCCCGGAGACCGUGGAUUUCCACUUUGACGUCAGUUUUGACCAAAUAUUUGCCGAACGGAAUGGAAGUCGCAUGGCCAACCGGUACCAUUGAUCGAUUCUUUAUUUCGCUCUCGUCCUCCAUUUAUCGGCACCGCUUUUUUCCACCGAUUUCCCAUAUCGUUCUUUUCCUCUUCUUGAUAUUGUUAAUCUGGACAACUACGCCCAAUACCGAGAAAAGAUAGCCUGAUCGAAACAGUGAUGCCGCUACUGUCUUUAAUCAUGUUUAGUGUCGAAACUAUAACAAAAAAUUACAACACAAUAGAGCUUCAGGUACUCGCAUUAAUAUUAGUAAAGAACACAAUCUUUAUCACGCAUGUAUCUUGCGCAUACUCAGCAUGUAUGUGAAUCACUCUCGAAGUAAAGUAGGAGUGCUCUU